CAGCAGCCGCGGGAAUACGUAGGGUGCGAGCGUUAAUCGGAAUUACUGGGCGUAAAGCGUGCGCAGGCGGUUGUGUAAGACAGGUGUGAAAUCCCCGGGCUUAACCUGGGAACUGCGCUUGUGACUGCACAGCUAGAGUAUGGCAGAGGGGGGUGGAAUUCCACGUGUAGCAGUGAAAUGCGUAGAGAUGUGGAGGAACACCGAUGGCGAAGGCAGCCCCCUGGGCCAAUACUGACGCUCAUGCACGAAAGCGUGGGGAGCAAACAGGAUUAGAUACCCCCGUAGUCCCUGUCUCUUAUAA
rnacentral:rRNA from 1 species